rnacentral:lncRNA from 1 species
AAGAAGAUCGGCCUUCAAAUAGCAGUGAAAACCCUAGGUGUGAAACCCUAGGUUCAGACGUCAAUUCAGUCACCAGAAAACCGAGAAACGAUGUCGGAAAUUUACCCAAACACCCACAAGAUGAGAAUCGAACCACCGGAAGACGGUAAACCAGUGAAUCAAAACCACCGAAAACCCUAGAUACCGAUAACUCACCAGAAAUCACCAAAACCGAUCAAAACGUUGUCAAAACGUUGAGGUUAAGAAGAUUCACCCGGAUAUUAUGAUGUAAAACACUUUUGAAGUCUGUCCGAUCAAAAACUGAAUCAUCACAGACCAUUCGAUCUCAGAAAAAUCGUCAAAAAUCGUCAAACAAACGUUCAAAAGUGAUACCGAUAUGCGAACAAACAUGAUCGGAUCGUUGUAAGGCUCUGAUACCAUGUAAAUAUUGAGAUUAAUCGAUGAAAUCAUAGAGAAAUUAGAGAGAGAAAGUAGAGAGAAGGGAGAGAGUUUUUGAGAGAACCGAAGAGUCGGUUAUUGGGAAAAGAGAGAAAAGAU